AAAACAAAAAAUAAUAAAAGCUAGAAUCUAAGAGUCCUAGGGUAUCCCAUGAGAAUAAGAUCCAAUCCAUCCUUGCAGCUUCCUGUUGAGCUUAUUGAUUUGGUCUUCCCAUCUGAGUCUUCUCAAUCACGAGCUUGUCAACAAUCAACUUUCAAGCAACUGAGGCGGGAGGAGUAUCUGGUUGAAUGCUAGAGGAAAAUAAAU
rnacentral:lncRNA from 1 species